rnacentral:pre_miRNA from 1 species
GAUAUACUUCUUUCGCCCGGAAUUACUUUUUAUAAGAAUGAAUGUUUUUAGACAUAUUUUAGUUCUAGAUAUUUUUUUUCAUUUUGAUGAAAAGUAAUUCCGGACGAAGGAAGUAUAUA